AAGGUAGCGAAAUUCCUUGUCAGGUAAGUUCUGACCCGCACGAAUGGCGUAACGACUUGGGAACUGUCUCAACAAGAGGCCCGGCGAAAUUGUAGUAUACGUGAAGAUGCGUAUUAACCCGCGACUGGACGGAAAGACCCCGUAGAGCUUUACUGCAGCUUGAUAUUGGAUUUCGGCAAUGGAUGUACAGGAUAGGUGGGAAACUGGGAAGCGAGUGCGUCAGCACUCGUGGAGUUGACGUUGGGAUACCACCCUUUCAUUGCUGAGGUUCUAACGAUGCGCCGUAAACCGGGCAUUGGACAAUGUCAGGUGGGCAGUUUGACUGGGGCGGUCGCCUCCCAAAGAGUAACGGAGGCGCCCAAAGGUUCCCUCAGAAUGGUUGGAAAUCAUUCAAAGAGUGUAAAGGCAGAAGGGAGCUUGACUGUGAAGACAGACAUGUCGAGCAGAUACGAAAGUAGGGCUUAGUGAUCCGGCGGUAGAGAAUGGAAUUGCCGUCGCUUAACGGAUAAAAGUUACCUCGGGGAUAACAGGCUGAUUCCUCCCAAGAGUUCACAUCGACGGAGGAGUUUGGCACCUCGAUGUCGGCUCGUCACAUCCUGGGGCUGUAGUAGGUCCCAAGGGUUCGGCUGUUCGCCGAUUAAAGUGGCACGCGAGCUGGGUUCAGAACGUCGUGAGACAGUUCGGUCCCUAUCCAUCGUGGGCGUAGGAUAUUUGAGAGGAUCUGCUCCUAGUACGAGAGGACCAGAGUGGACGCACCUAUGGUGCACCUGUUGUCGCGCCAGCGGCACAGCAGGGUAGCGAUGUGCGGAUGGGAUAAACGCUGAAAGCAUCUAAGCGUGAAACCCACCUCAAGAUAAGAUAUCCCAUAUCGUAAGAUAGUAAGACCCCUUGAAGACUACAAGGUUGAUAGGUCGGAGGUGUAAGCACGGUAACGUGUUCAGCUGACCGAUACUAAUAGGUCGAGGGCUUAAUCAA
rnacentral:rRNA from 1 species